CCUCCUGAGUACUGAGAUUACAGGUGUGUGCCACCACGCCUGGCUAAAAUUUUGAAAUGAGCUUAUUUACCAUACUGGCAUAUCUUGGUUCUUCAGGAAUAUCUAAAUUAUGAUUAAUAAGGAUACUAACUAAACUGGGCAUACUGUUUUGGCUUAAACUAAAUAUUGUGAGAGACACAUUUCCUUUUUUGUCUCCUAAACUGCUUCUGUGAGUGAUGCUUUGGCCCACUGGCAGUAAAAUUGCACUUAAGCACCAGACCCUCCCACUCACCUGUAGAGGACAUCUGUGGGGCUCUGCUGGUGACCCUCUGGCUCCAGCUUUAUCACAUGACUACCUGGCAUGCAGGAGCCCCUCCACACAGGUGCAGCUUGGCAGUGUCUCCUCACAGGUCCGUGCCUGUUCCUCCCACUUCCCAUCCUUUGGGGCAUCCAAGGCCACUCCUUGGCACCUAUAUGCAGCCUGGAAAUUCAGAGAGUUGAUGCAUUUAGGACCUCCUUUGACUAACUGGGAUGGAGGUAGGCUUUACUAUCCUUUACUAGAGGAGAUUAGCCUCCUUUUGCUUGGAGACCUGCAAAGAUCGCACUUGAAACAGUGCAACCUUCAUCAUGAUAUUUAUCCUCAAGAGCCGCAUCUGCUACACUCAGCUCCAGGAAGAUAAGCAAGGUCACAUGUUGGUACACCUCAUUUGGAGAAGUAGACUUCCUGCUCCAGAAGAAAAUAGCUUAUUUGUUAAAAGAAAAACAAUCUGACAUAGAUUAUCAAGAAUCAGGGGAAGGCAUACAGGAGUGGCUGGGUCUUGAAGGUGUGAUGCCAAAGUCUGGCAAAGAGAGCUUUUGUGUGUGAAAGCACUUGCCUGUGAGUUGAGGGUCAGCACUGGCUUUAAGACCUGGAAUGUGUCUUUAUAUACUGCUAGUUUUGUUCCUCAAAGCUUACGUGUGGUAUUAACCCAAAGUAAAUGAGGUGGAGGUUUUAGAACUGCCUUGUCAAAAAAUGGGGCAUCAUGGUGGGUUAAAUAUACACAUAUCAUACUUCUCUAAUGUAAGUUUGCACUUUAGUAUUACAGUAGCUGGUUGUGAGGUCUCAGUAGGUGUGCCUGAGGGAUCCAGGAAGCAAGCUUUGUGUUUAUCCACUUGGUACAACAAAUGGCAAGCUGUGUGCACAUGUACAAAAGAGUCAAACUGGGAUUUUUAGCCAUGUAACACUCAGUGUAACAUUCUUGUGUAUGUUUCCAUGCCUGAUCAUGGACGUCAUGGGGAGUAAAAUACAUCCACACCAUUCUUCUAUUAUGUAAACAUGUACUUUGCCAUGAUGGAAUGUGGGUGUGGCUCACAGUAGCUGUGCCUAGGGAAACCAGGAACCCAUCUGUGCAUUCAUCCACUUGGCCGACAAAUGGCAAGGUGUGUACAGGAGCUCCAAAGCAGCAACAGAAGUAGCUCAGUUCAAUACAAUGACAGAUGAAAAACCAGAUUUGCAAGUUUUGGAGGUUGAAAGUGAAUCAUUAGGUGAUUCAUGCACGGAUUAUGAUGGUGAUGGUGAUGGUGAUGAUGAUGAUGAUGACUUUGACACUGCCCAUGAGAGCCAAAGUUCCUGUGGCAGUGAAAUGGAGCAAGAAUCAACCGAUACAGACACAGGGACUGCAGACUUCCUUGAUUCAAAUGAUGAAGAAAACAGCAAUGUGAGUACAUAUUUGACUAGUCAAAAUGUUAUGAAAUGGUCACACAACCAAGUGGAAUGAUCCAGUGUUAGAUCUUCAUCCAAAAAUAUAGUGAGGAUCUUGGCAGGGGUUGGAUGGAAUGCCAGCACUGACAUUCAGUGUUGGAAAUUGUAACCAACAAAAUGCUACAAGAUGUUGUGAAACACACAAAUGAUGAAGUACAAGUAAAUCGAUCUGUAUGCACUGAUAGCCAUACUAAAAAUGUGUUCAUUAUGACACCUCCCUAACUGAACUGAAGCAUUCCUAUCUGCUGUACUUAUCAGGGCUUUCUCAUUGUGAUCACAGGAAUAUAAAAGACUUAUGGAGAAGUGAUGAAUGUGGCCUUAGGUUUGUAGAUGAACAAUGACACUGAGAUUUUGUUUCCUUCAAAGCUGCCUGAGGUUGAUGACAAAACCACCCACCAUAAAGAAAAACAAUUGAUAAUCUGGUUGCUGUCCAUUCAGUGUUUGAGAGAUUUGUGGCUAACUGCCAAGGAACUUACACAUCAUCUGAAUACAUGAGUAUUGAUGUUGUAGUUCCUGGUCAAUGUAGCUGUAGGCAGCAUAUGCAAAGAGGAAAAAGCCUUCAAAAUAUGGUGUAAACAUGUAUGCCCUGGUAACUGCAAAGACAUAUUAUACUUUCAAUUUAGAAAUUUGUCUUGGAACCUAGCCACCAGGUAUUUAUUUGCAUGGUAAUGUUAUAGACAGCUAAAUUAGAUAGAAAUAUUAUAGGCAGUCUGACAGGGUUAGGCCCUUGAGGGAGUCAGUUGCAAAAGAUGAGAACACAUCGAAAGUGUCUCUGGAGGCGCAUCUGAAGAAGAUUAAAGUCACAAUGGACAGAUUUACAUACUUCCCUAAGGGGAUAAAGUUUGAGAUUAUUGGUACCACCUCUUGAGAUUUCCCAAGUUAAACUAUUAUUUCCUUAGGCAUGGGCUGACCUCUCCCACUUACUAAAACUAAGACUAAGACUAAGACUAUAGAUUAUUGACCAAGUUAAUGAUAUCAUCCAAAUACUCUUGCUACAAUUGGAUCAAUAUUUCUAAGUGAGUGUACUUGUAAUCUUACUGGUUGAUCAUAAUUUUGUGCCAUGUUGUACCCGCCUUGUGAUUUUGCUCUAUAAAAACUUCUUUUGGGAAGUGGGCUCAUUGGCAACCCAUUCGGGACCCCUCUUGUCUCUCAGGAGCUAUUCUGUUCCCCAUUCCUGUUCCUCAUCCCUUUUCAUCAGUAAAUUUUCCUACUCUUAACCUCUGUUGUUCCCCAGAAUUCAUUCUUCCACUUCAGGGAGCGUGAACUUGGAUAUGCGAUAUCUAGGACUUCCCCUAUACCAGUAAUAAACCGAGCGAUGUUGCGAACAGACUUCCUGUCCCUACCCCCAGACUAAUCAGAAAGUGACAGCCAACACUUAGUUUACCAGUGUCUGGUUGAUGUUACACUUGCUAACAGAGAACAAGUUGCCCAGCGUGGGAACUGUAUGCAAGAACAAAGCAGAAAUUUAAUGAAAUGUUGUAAUUUCAAAACAGAAUUGUAUAAUACAAUCUUUGGACUGCAGAAAGAGGUAAUAUUGGCUUCGUAUAUGGCAAAGAAAAGCAAACUGGUGCUGCUGAUGUCAACAGUGUAUCUCCAUGGAAAAACUGACCAAGAAACUGCUACAGUUGGGUGGGCUAAAAUGAUGCCUAAAGUCUAUCUUUACAGUUGUCAGCAAUCUGUGCGACCUCCUAAGGUUACACCCGAAUAACCACCAGGGUGGUGUCGUGUUUAUAGCUGAACGAAGAAAAGGGAGGUGGCUCACACCGCUUCCCUGCCUUUGGGUGGUGUGGCAUUUACAGUCGAAUGAAGAGCGUGACUUAGCUUUGUUUCUAACUGUACUAAAACCUCAGUGAAAUUGAAGUCUGAGAUGGUAGCUUUUUUUUUUUUUGCAUGUAGUCCAGGCUGGCUUUAAACUUCCUAUGUAACCCAAAGUAGUCUUGAACUCCAGUGAUCAUCCUGCCUCAGCCUCCCUAGUGCUGGGAUCACAGGCAAGUGCCACCAUGCCUGGCUCAGAUGGUAGCUUUUUACAACAAAAUGAAAGGUGGAGUAGGUGUUGUUGACGAGUUAUGGAGCGGCCAUGUUGUCACUUGAAACACAAAGUGUUGGCUGAUGGUUGUGUCUUACUUGAUCCUAAAUGUGUGGCAUAAACAGUUUGAUAGUUUACAAAGAAAAUAACAAAUACAAAAUAUCAUGGAGAAAUUUUCUUAGAGGAUUGGAACUGGCACUUGUAACAGAUCAUUUACAACAGAGGAAGAACAAAGUAUUUCUGCCCAGGUACUACACAAAAAAUUAUAGAGCAUACUGGUGAUGGACAGAUGAACAAAGACCUACUAUGACAACAGGAAAACCAAAAAGAUGUCAACUGUGCCAAACAUACGUGCUAUCACUGUAAGUGAUACUUGUGCAUGGAACAUGCAGUUUUCUUGUGUGAAGAUUGCCUUGGGUGUGACAGCUAAAGCAAAGAUUGUUUAUCUGGUAGACUUCUGUUUGUAUUUACAUUGUACUUCACAUAACUUGUUAUUUCUGAUGUUACCUUUUAGGGUUUUUAAGCAAGUAAACAGCUGAUGUGAAAA